CCGCUCAGAUACAAUGUGUCCUAGCAUGAUUUUCUCUCGAACCAUGAAAUGGCUCUUUUUUUAGCUUAACACCAGAUUCAUCUCCACACACCUUUUAAGUACUUUGGUUAAAUUUGGGAGACAAUCAUCAAAAGUAGGGCCAAAAAUAGAAAAGUCACCCAUGAAAUCUUCUAAAAACUUAUCCACUAUAUCAGAAAAG
rnacentral:lncRNA from 1 species